rnacentral:rRNA from 1 species
CCUANGGGGGGCUGCAGUAACGAAUCUUCCGCAAUGCACGAAAGUGUGACGGAGCGACGCCGCGUGUAGGACGAAGCCCUUCGGGGUGUAAACUACUGUCAGGGGUUAGAAAGUUCUGAUCAACCCCAGAGGAAGGGACGGCUAACUCUGUGCCAGCAGCCGCGGUAAGACAGAGGUCCCGAGCGUUAGGCGGAAUCACUGGGCUUAAAGCGUGUGUAGGCGGAUCGUUAAGUGCCUUGUGAAAUCCCACGGCUUAACCGUGGAACUGCUUGGCAUACUGGCGGUCUUGAGCCACUUAGGGGCAACUGGAACAAAUGGUGGAGCGGUGAAAUGCGUAGAUAUCAUUUGGAACGCCAAUGGUGAAAACAGGUUGCUGGGAGUGUGCUGACGCUGAGACACGAAAGCCAGGGGAGCGAACGGGAUUAGAUACCCGGNUANUC